rnacentral:rRNA from 1 species
ACACGUAAGGGGCGAGCGUUGUUCGGAAUUAUUGGGCGUAAAGGGCGCGUAGGCGGGAAACCAAGUCUGAUGUGAAAGACUCCGGCUCAACUGGAGGGACGCAUUGGAAACUGGUUUUCUUGAGUAUAAGAGGGGAUGUUGGAAUUCCAGGUGUAGGGGUGAAAUCUGUAGAUAUCUGGAAGAACACCGGUGGCGAAGGCGAACAUCUGGCUAUAUACUGACGCUGAGGCGCGAAAGCGUGGGGAGCGAACAGGACUAGAUACCCAGGUAGUCCACGCCGUAAACGAUGUGCACUAGGAGAUGGGUGGUAGCAUUCAUUUCCGAAGCUAACGCAUUAAGUGCACCGCCUGGGGAGUAUGCUCGCAAGGGUGAA